GACGAACGCUGGCGGCGUGCUUAACACAUGCAAGUCGAACGGAAAGGCCCUGCUUUUGUGGGGUGCUCGAGUGGCGAACGGGUGAGUAACACGUGAGUAACCUGCCCUUGACUUUGGGAUAACUUCAGGAAACUGGGGCUAAUACCGGAUAGGAGCUCCUGCUGCAUGGUGGGGGUUGGAAAGUUUCGGCGGUUGGGGAUGGACUCGCGGCUUAUCAGCUUGUUGGUGGGGCAGUGGCUUACCAAGGCUUUGACGGGUAGCCGGCCUGAGAGGGUGACCGGCCACAUUGGGACUAAGAUACGGCCCAGACUCCUACGGGAGGCAGCAGUGGGGAAUAUUGCACAAUGGGCGGAAGCCUAAUGCAGCAACGCCGCGUGCGGGAUGACGGCCUUCGGGUUGUAAACCGCUUUCGCCUGUGACGAAGCGUGAGUGACGGUAAUGGGUAAAGAAGCACCGGCUAACUACGUG
rnacentral:rRNA from 1 species